AGCAAGGAGCGCCGACAGCCAGACACCCUGGGGUUUCUGAUGCAGCUAAUCGGCAGAUCCAGUGUCCUUGAGGAGGUUGGGGAAAACUUGGUGCCGGUUCCGGUGGCUGUGAGUGUCCCUGGGGUGGGGGAUUUGGAGGUGGCCCAGCAGGCGGAGCGCGAGGCAGCCGGCGGUGGACAGCGGCGACACACAAAUCUAGUUCGCACACGAAGCGGCGGCCAACAGAAGGGAGAGCUCGCCGGCGAUGUCGGAGCUGUCAACGGGAAAGAUGAAUCCCCAAGCACUGGGGUGGAUCAAAAGGCUUAGCAUUGGUGUUGCCGCACCUAGCAGAACACCAUUAUUUGCGGCUGGAUGGAGUUAUUGUAGGGCUCGUUUCCUCUCUGGAGCUCCUGGAAGUUUCAAUUGUGAAAUAGAGGAGCUUGUAGAGGCGAAGUCGGGCGUAGGAGACGACGCCAUUGAUGGAUUUCUUAAUGCAGCCUAUCAGCAGAUUCCAUGUGCUUUAAGAGGUGGAGGACAAUGAAGCGCCAUGGAUCUGCGACCUUACAUAGUGGCUGCUUUGGUGGGGGAGCUGGAACAAGCGCCGGUGCCAGUCUCAAGUGUAGACGCUUAGUUCUGGGAUGAAGAAGGGAGAACUCAACCCAGGUGUCCGAGCAGUCAACCGGCAAGAUGAACCUGCAAGCCCGGGGAUGGACUAAGAAUAAGAGGCUAGCUUCGCUGGCGUCUGCUCGACGGAGUGGUGCAUCCAUGGCAGCCGCGGCCGUCCUCCUCUUGCGAUGGUGCGGGUCAGCGAUACGGUGCUUUCUUAGCGCCUCCAGCAACAGCGGCGCGACCUGGCGGCGUGAUACCACCAUGACUUGUAGCCAGGGCAGCGGCAGUCGUCCUCCCGGGGCGAGAGCGAGCAAUGGCGACGGCGAGCGAACGGGUUAUUUAUGGGCUGCACAGCAAUGUUGUUAUUCUUAUUUGUUUUCACCUUGCUGCUGUCGAAUGACGCAUGUGAUUUGAAUUCGACAUCCCUCUACCGUAAAUGUGCCCACACUGGCUCUACUUACAGAAGAUUUUGUUGAGUUUGGCCCCGAUGGUCAGUUGAGAACCAUUGGGUGAAGAUGUGUGUGACACAUCAUCGUUUACAAGGAGGGCUAAAUGUAUGGUAAAUGGGCAAUCACGUGGCGGCACGUCUGCGAUCUCCAUUUUCUGGUACAUGUACAGACUUGUUAGUUAUGAUGUGUCCAGGAGAAGAAACUAAUCACAUACUACCAUGUUUAGGAAGAACUGAUGUACGUACAUCUUUGAAAUGUUGGGCUAUGAAUUCAUGGAGAGGAUUAUGCACAAUAGUUUUCCAAGAGGAUUAUGCACAAUAGUUUUUCUAGGUUUGUGAGAUGUGGACGUGAUUAUGGACAAGUUCAGCUCGCUGGUGUGGGCGUGAUUGGAUGCAACAGUGUGGUGAUGCUGAAGCUCAAUUACGUCUUUACCUGAACUUCAAUUGCUUGUAAACAUACAACUCUUGAAUAAGAUUACUUGUUGCUGCAA